UAGGGAAUAUUGGACAAUGGGUGAGAGCCUGAUCCAGCCAUGCCGCGUGCAGGAAGAAGGCGUUAUGCGUUGUAAACUGCUUUUUGCCAGGGGAUAAAAUGAGCGUGCGCGCUUAAUUGAAGGUACCUGGUGAAUAAGCCACGGCUAACUACGUGCCAGCAGCCGCGGUAAUACGUAGGUGGCGAGCGUUAUCCGGAAUCACUGGGUUUAAAGGGUGCGUAGGCGGCUGUAUAAGUCAGUGGUGAAAGGCUGUGGCUUAACCAUGGGAUUGCCAUUGAUACUGUACGGCUUGAAUUAGGAUGAGGUUGGCGGAAUGUGACAUGUAGCGGUGAAAUGCUUAGAUAUGUCAUGGAACAUCGAUUGCGAAGGCAGCUGACUGGACCUUAAUUGACGCUGAGGCGCGAAAGCGUGGGGAGCAAACAGGAUUAGAUACCCCCGUAGUCCCUGAGCGGGCUGGCAAGGCGCAU
rnacentral:rRNA from 1 species